UUGUGAUUCUAAUAUUAAUGGAGAUAACACAUAACAUCUCUUGUUUUACUUUUUCUAUGUACACAAGAAAACUUGGAAUUGAAAAUAUAUUGGAAUGUGUUUAGGAGAACAGUCAUUUGAUUUAAACACGGUCUAAACCUAUGCUUCACACAGUCAAGUUUAGCUCGUGACAAGAGAAGAAUGGAGACUGGAUUCUUUGCUGGGCUUAAGUAACCUGAGAUUGUCUGACGGGGACUUCCAUUAGCCCCGUGUUCACUAAAGCUCGCCCCACCAUCAGCAAUGGUUUGCACCUUGCCUCGGUGUCUUCAUGGAUUCCAGGUGAGAGGCUCAGCCUGUGCCCCGUGCGUGGUGUGGGCUCUUCAUCAGUCACGUGUGUCAACCACACAAGCACAUUUCAGUGCCGCCUUCCCUCUUGUAGUAAUUGUCAUUAUGUAAACAAUCUAAUCGGAGUGCUAAUACAUGUAAUUUCACUGAACUGACAGUAAUGAAUCUUGAGUGUGCUGUUCCACAGACUUGCUUCUUUCCCAGGUGAGGCGUGGCAGCGAUGAGCACGCCUUCUGUGGCCACGCAGAGUCCACGGGUUUUCCAAGUCUUCAGAGGAGCACUUCAGUUUUCAGAAAUGGAAUGGUUCCUCUUUUUCCUGUUUCCUCAAUAUUUUCCUAAAAGACACAAACUUACAGAAGUUGUUUCUGAAAGUGGAGCUGACUGGAAAAGUACCCAAUUUUGUUUCUAAAUAUAUAUUUGUAGAAUCUUCCAAAGCCAGUCCGUCAGAGACAGGGGAUUCCAUCUCAAUCUACCUUGAAAGGCGAUUGAAUUAAACAAGCAUUUGUACUUUGUUCCAGACUCUAUGACUUUGAACAUUAAGCACUCACCCAGCCACUUUCCCUGGAGAGGUAAAGCUGCAUCAGGCAUGAAUCCAGUUCUCAAGGAGCUCACUGCCAAGCUCAGCAGGUGAGACAGAGAAUGAGGGGGAAAGGCAUUGGUGCACAAGAACAAGAACCACGGGACCAGUAACUGGGGUCUUGUCCUGAGAGGCUGUGAGAAUCACUCCACUGCUUUUUCUUCAGGGUAACUUCAUCUCCCCACAUCAUGAUGUACUGUAAGGAUUGUGGGAAAUGCUUUGCCCCCUUUGGAUGAAAGGUGUAUUAUAUAAGGUCUGUAAAAGUAUUUUGGAUAUGUUUAGAAAAAAAUAAGUGAUAACAAUGAUAAUAAUAUCUAGCAUUUAUUGAAUGCUUAUUAUACGCCUGGCAUUAAACUAAAGAUGGGAAUACGGCUUUAAUCUGUAACUCUAUUUUAUAUCCGUUGAGCCCCAAAUUAUCAAAAUAUUUCUUUC